rnacentral:rRNA from 1 species
GAUGAACGCUAGCGAUAGGCUUAACACAUGCAAGUCGAGGGACCGGCGCACGGGUGCGUAACGCGUAUGCAACCUGCCUCACAGAGGGGGAUAACCCGUCGCAAGACGUACUACUACCGCGUACUGUGAGAUAGGCUUGCGUACCAUUAGCUAGUUGGUGAGGUAACGGCUCACCAAGGAAACGAUGGGUAGGGGAACGGAGAGGUUGAACCCCCACACUGGUACUGAGACACGGACCAGACUCGUACGGAAGGCAGCAGUGAAGAAUAUUGGGCAAUGGGCGAGGGCCUGAACCAGCCAAGUCGCGUGAAGGAUGACUGGCUAUGGAUGGUAAACUUCCGUUGUAGGGGAAUAUUUACCCGACGAAUAAGCAUCGGCUAACUCCGUGCCAGCCGCCGCGGUAAUAC